rnacentral:rRNA from 1 species
AUUGAACGCUGGCGGAAUGCUUUACACAUGCAAGUCGAGCGGCAGCGCGGGGCAACCUGGCGGCGAGCGGCGAACGGGUGAGUAAUACAUCGGAACGUGCCCAGACGUGGGGGAUAACUACUCGAAAGAGUAGCUAAUACCGCAUAUGAUCUAAGGAUGAAAGCGGGGGAUCGCAAGACCUCGCGCGUUUGGAGCGGCCGAUGGCAGAUUAGGUAGUUGGUGGGGUAAAGGCUUACCAAGCCUGCGAUCUGUAGCUGGUCUGAGAGGACGACCAGCCACACUGGGACCGAGACACGGCCCAGACUCCUACGGGAGGCAGCAGUGGGGAAUUUUGGACAAUGGGCGAAAGCCUGAUCCAGCCAUUCCGCGUGCAGGAUGAAGGCCUUCGGUUGUAAACUGCUUUGUUACAGAACGAAAAGACUCUAGUUAAUACCUGGAGUCCAUGACGGUACUGUAAGAAUAAGACACCGGCUAACUAACGUGCCAGCAGCCGUA